rnacentral:rRNA from 1 species
UCCAGACUCCUACGGGAGGCAGCAGUGGGGGAUAUUGCACAAUGGGGGAAACCCUGAUGCAGCGACGCCGCGUGAGUGAAGAAGUAUUUCGGUAUGUAAAGCUCUAUCAGCAGGGAAGAAAAAAGACGGUACCUGACUAAGAAGCCCCGGCUAACUACGUGCCAGCAGCCGCGGUAAUACGUAGGGGGCAAGCGUUAUCCGGAUUUACUGGGUGUAAAGGGAGCGUAGACGGCAAUACAAGUCGGAAGUGAAAUACCCGGGCUUAACCUGGGAACUGCUUUGGAAACUGUAUGGCUGGAGUGCUGGAGAGGUAAGCGGAAUUCCUAGUGUAGCGGUGAAAUGCGUAGAUAUUAGGAGGAACACCAGUGGCGAAGGCGGCUUACUGGACAGUAACUGACGUUGAGGCUCGAAAGCGUGGGGAGCAAACAGGAUUAGAUACCCGUGUAAUU